rnacentral:rRNA from 1 species
CUAUACCCUUUGUGACAUACCUAUAACUGUUGCUUCGGCGGGUAGGGUCUCCGCGACCCUCCCGGCCUCCCGCCUCCGGGCGGGUCGGCGCCCGCCGGAGGAUAACCAAACUCUGAUUUAACGACGUUUCUUCUGAGUGGUACAAGCAAAUAAUCAAAACUUUUAACAACGGAUCUCUUGGUUCUGGCAUCGAUGAAGAACGCAGCGAAAUGCGAUAAGUAAUGUGAAUUGCAGAAUUCAGUGAAUCAUCGAAUCUUUGAACGCACAUUGCGCCCGCCAGCAUUCUGGCGGGCAUGCCUGUUCGAGCGUCAUUUCAACCCUCAAGCUCUGCUUGGUGUUGGGGCCCUACAGCUGAUGUAGGCCCUCAAAGGUAGUGGCGGACCCUCCCGGAGCCUCCUUUGCGUAGUAACUUUACGUCUCGCACUGGGAUCCGGAGGGACUCUUGCCGUAAAACCCCCCAAUUUUCCAAAGGUUGACCUCGGAUCAGGUAGGAAUACCCGCUGAACUUAAGCAUAUCAAUAAGCGGAGGAA